rnacentral:rRNA from 1 species
UACGAAGGGGCUAGCGUUGCUCGGAAUCACUGGGCGUAAAGGGUGCGUAGGCGGGUCUUUAAGUCAGGGGUGAAAUCCUGGAGCUCAACUCCAGAACUGCCUUUGAUACUGAAGAUCUUGAGUCCGGGAGAGGUGAGUGGAACUGCGAGUGUAGAGGUGAAAUUCGUAGAUAUUCGCAAGAACACCAGUGGCGAAGGCGGCUCACUGGCCCGGUACUGACGCUGAGGCACGAAAGCGUGGGGAGCAAACAGG